GCUGGUCACACGCAGUCAGCUCUGGCGGGUGCAUUUGCACCACGAGAAGUGAGUUGUUAAACAUUUACCAGCACACACGCUGCAGGGGACCUAAGGAGAGUGAUGGCACUGGAAAGAGGAAUGCUCCUGCUUCUAAUCCUCCUUGAUAGAGGCGCUCCCCUUUUGUUUUUGAAGAAUUUAUAGAAGCUUUUCCACCGGGGAGCUUCAGCUAGGUCUUCUCAUCAGUGCUGUGUGCCAGACAAGCCAGAUGAUCAAGGAAGUACCUACACUUUGGACACUGUCAGUUUGCCUGGGGACUGAGAGCUUACAGUCCAAGCUUGCUUCAACUCUGGCUGAGGCCAACAGAGAGAGCCCAAAGACAACUGAAGGAGCGGCAGAAAACAAAUAUGGGAACGGGGCUUAAUCCCAUCGGGACUAAGGGAGGAGCCUUCCCUUCCAGCCUCACACAGGCAGACUAUCUCAAAAGAAAGAGAAAGCAAUUUUCCCUUGCAUGCUGGCUGUUUCACUUCCUUCUACUUUUAGGAAAUGGAUCAACCACACCAUCCAGCGAAAUUACUGUGAACACUGCCCUGGACCAACCACACCUUCCAGUGGAAUCACCAUGACCACCCCUCCAGGAUCAACCACAUUAUCCAGCAGAAUCACCGUGACCACGCUCCCUGGACCAACCACACCUCCCAGUGGAAUCACUACAACCCCCCUGCCCUGGGUCCACUAUAUCUUCCAGUGGAACUAACACAACAACCGCAACCUCCAGUGUCACCAGCACAAGUGCAGCCCCUCCAGGGAAUGAGGGAAGGUCUAAUGGAUGCCUGAGGCUGUGGGAAGUCAUCCUAGUCACUCUGGCCUUGGUUGCAAUGGCUGUGAUUCUCUUCACAGGGCUCUUUUAUUUCAUGAGUGCCUGAUGUGUGGGAAAUCCUUUUUCUGAGGGAGGGAGUGCAGGGAACUGAGGAGGGAAGCAGGGUAGAGAGAGUAGGGUCAUUGUGUGGCUAAUAGGGAAUGAGAAAUCAGGAGAGGGACAAAGCAAGACAGAGACAGCAGGUGAGAACCAGCAAGAGAGAGGGCUAGAAAAGCUGGUACAUGUUCAGAGGAAAUUGAUGAGGAGAGAAGGGGCCAAAGGAGUACUGAGGCUGGGGAGGCCGAAUGGGGAGUGGGGACACGUGGGAUGGGAGAGCACUGGAAGAGGGGCAUAACUCUGAACCAUCCAUCCUUUUGUUUUCUAGAGAAACUCUCUGUGCCUAAGAAACCUCUUCACCAAAGAUCUUCACAUCCCAAACCUUGGUCCAUGUCCUCAAGGAUAUCAUGGAGUCCAAGAUGGGUCAAGUGAGACUGAAACGGAUUUUAGAGACCAGUGUUCUCCCACAGGCAUGGAGCUGAUGAGGAGACACAGUGUCCCUAAAGGCAGGCACUUCACUGUCCUCAGGGUGGGGAGGACCAGCGGUCUCGGUUUUCCUCACUUGCCCCCAGGGCUGCUCCUCCCAGCUCUGCUCCAGCCCCUGACACUCCUACCUUCUGUUUAGUUCUCCCAGACCUGAAACAGGAGGCUAUCGCUAGUGCUGAAUGAUUAAAUAAGUGCAUCUGCUCUAUGUGACAGCCAGACUGUGGGUGUGUGCUUGUAUAUUGCUGUGAAGAGAGGUUUCCUAUAUCAUGAGGACACUCUUUCGCUGUGACCUCCCAGUUCUCAAAUCCUAGCAUGAAAUCCAGAGACCUCACAUCUGUCCCAUUUUCUUCCCCACUCCUUCCCUGCUCCCCGAGGCCUCUGGGUCGAUGGAAGAACGGAGUCAGGAGAGAUGGGGGAAGGCAGGUGCUGGUCUUUACAGACGUGUGUUGCAUGGCAGGAAAACAGCCUCUGCGUGAGCCUAGAACAUGAACUGGAGGAAAGUGAUCCUGUUUUCAUGUUGUGAGGUAGGAAAGAGCUUGCUACUGGGGCCACCCUUAGACAUGGCCACUUUUCCUGGCCACUCACGUCUGCUCUGGGCUGCAGGUGUGAGUUGCCACCUUUCUCUCCUGUGGGCUCCCAGCCCAGCAACUGUCCUGGGCAGGGAGAAUGUGCUCCCAGUUUUUGCAAGGGCAGGACUGGCUUGCCCUGCUACGGUCUAGAUCCUCAGCAGCUCCCCCAAAACCAGGCCUCAGAGGGCACACAUGCCAGUGUCAGCACCAUGCUCAGGCCUGGUCCCACCCAGGCUUCUGGUGCAACUUGCUCUCGCACUCGCACACGCACCCCACUGAUUCUUCCUCCCUGUGAAUCACUCGCCUCUGCUUUAUCAGUUUCACCCUCUGCUAAGUCUCUUCAGCUUCUGGGAUUCUCCUGGGUCUUUGGGAGAGCCUUAACAGGACCAAGCUGUUUCUCUAAGA
rnacentral:lncRNA from 1 species